UGCGUCUUCUCAUUCUCUGCAUCUCCGCUAGACCAUUGAAUCUUCGCCGGCUGUUUGCGAAAAAAUCGGGCCCGGGCCUCGCGAUCGAUCCAAACAAAGAAACAAAACAGAUGGACUCUCCGUCUUCCAUCUCUCAUUUUCAUUC
ensembl:ncRNA F57G12.7 ncRNA